rnacentral:lncRNA from 1 species
GCGAAGUUAUGUAGGUACUUCUUGCCCAGUGCGUAUAUGGAUUACCGUGAAGAUAAUGUAAAUAACUGUCAUGAAGCUGUCCUGGGACCUCCACCUGAUUAUGUUGAGAUCGACCUGGUAUAAAUAGUUGGCGACGCUUCCAGUCAUCUUGAAAUCAUCAUCUGCCGAUGAUGAUGUCAAAUUUAAAUCGGCAUAAACAAAUGACGAUGUUUCCAGUCGCAUUGGAAUCUCUAUCUGAUGAUGAUGUCCAGUUUGACCUGGUAUAAAUAAUUGAUGAUUACUUCAUUUGUCUUGGAAUCUUGACCUGACGAUGAUGAUGUCCAGUUUGAUCUGAAAUAAAUAACUGGCGAUUUCAUAUUGGUGAAAAACUUUUAGGAAAUGUUGACAAGCAUGUCUGAGCCCUUUGUUCUUCUCUGGCCAUUCCUUUCGUCGAGGUAGAGCAGCCUUCGCAAGUGAGCUAGGAAUUAACGCAGAAUUAAAAAACACUUGUGAAGACUAGAGCAACGACUGUAUACGACGCUACAUGGAGUUCCUGUUAACCGCUUGAAAGAAGAAUUUACUAAAUGUUUGAUUAUUCUUAGAAAUGUUAUUAUAAGGCUAGUCACUUGAAAGAAGAAUCCAUUAAAUGUUUGAUCACUGUCUUUAAAAAGACUGUUAUAAGACUAGCUGCUUGAAAGAACAUUAUUGUAAACUAUGUUUUUUCACAUUUAGAUAUUUGUAUUGUUGUUUUAAAAGAGAUAAUUGUGGUAUCCGACUUAGUAGUGCCCCCCCCCAGUGCCUUUGUUAUUAUUAUUAUUAUUAUUGUGAAGUAGCUCAGCGGUAAAGUAAAUAU